UUAAAUAAUGAAGCUUCAGGUGUUCCAAUAUGGAAUGAAAAGGGAAAGCGGUGAAAAUCCGCUGCAGCCCCCGCUACUGUAUACGGCGACAAAGCUCAAUCCACUAAAUAUUUGGGAAGGAGAGCUUAGGAUGACCCGUCAGCCAGGAGACCUGCCUGUUGCAUACUGGAUCU
rnacentral:ncRNA from 2 species